rnacentral:rRNA from 1 species
ACACAUGCAAGUCGAACGGAGUAGCAAUACUUAGUGGCGGACGGGUGAGUAACGCGUAAGAAUCUGCCUACAGGACGGGGAUAACGUUGGGAAACUGACGCUAAAACCCGAUGUGCCGAGAGGUGAAAUAUUUAUAGCCUGUAGAUGAGCUUGCGUCUGAUUAGCUAGUUGGAGUGGUAACGGCACACCAAGGCGACAAUCAGUAACUGGUCUGAGAGGAUGACCAGUCACACUGGGACUGAGACACGGCCCAGACUCCUACGGGAGGCAGCAGUGGGGAAUUUUCCGCAAUGGGCGAAAGCCUGACGGAGCAAUACCGCGUGCGGGACGAAGGCUUUUGGGUCGUAAACCGCUUUUGUUAGGGAAGAAUAACUGACGGUACCUAACGAAUCAGCAUCGGCUAACUCCGUGCCAGCAGCCGCGGUAAUACGGAGGAUACAAGCGUUAUCCGGAUUUAUUGGGCGUAAAGCGUCCGCAGGUGGUUCAUCAAGUCUGCUGUCAAAGCGUGGGGCUUAACCCCAUAAAGGCAGUGGAAACUGAUGAACUAGAGUACGGUAGGGGUAGCGGGAAUUCCCAGUGUAGCGGUGAAAUGCGUAGAUAUUGGGAAGAACACCAGCGGCGAAGGCGCGCUACUGGGCCGAAACUGACACUCAUGGACGAAAGCUAGGGGAGCGAAAGGGAUUAGAUACCCCUGUAGUCCUAGCUGUAAACGAUGACAACUAGGUGUUGCGCGUAUCGA